UCAGUUUUAAAAAGCCGCCUUUUUUUCUAGCGGAGUCCAUUGAGCGCCGACCGAGACCUAAACUUCCAACGAAAAAGUAAACCAGAGCUCGAUAGAUCUAAAGCUCGAAGCUUUCCCUUUUCUCUCUCUUGAUCUCCACCUUUGUUCUCUCUUUCUCUCUCCUCCAUUCGAAACCCUAGAGAGAGAAAUGGGAUCUUACAAGGCCGAGGACGACUAUGAUUACCUCUUCAAGGUCGUUCUCAUCGGCGAUUCUGGAGUAGGGAAGUCUAAUCUGCUCUCGAGGUUCACCAGAAACGAGUUCAGCCUCGAGUCCAAGUCCACCAUCGGCGUCGAGUUCGCCACUCGGAGCUUGAAUGUCGAUGGAAAGGUCAUCAAGGCUCAGAUUUGGGAUACCGCGGGUCAAGAGAGGUACCGUGCCAUCACGAGUGCUUACUAUCGAGGAGCUGUGGGUGCAUUGCUUGUCUAUGACGUAACAAGACAUGCUACAUUCGAGAAUGUUGAGCGCUGGCUCAAAGAAUUAAGAAACCACACAGACCCUAACAUUGUCGUUAUGCUUAUUGGAAACAAAAGUGAUCUUAGGCAUCUUAUCGCUGUUUCAACUGAAGAUGGGAAAUCUUUUGCGGAGUCAGAGUCUCUAUAUUUUAUGGAGACAUCGGCACUGGAAUCAACAAAUGUAGAAAAUGCAUUUGCAGAGAUCUUGACUCAGAUCUACAGGGUUGUGAACAAGAAGGCAAUUGAGGCUAAUGAUGAUGCAGCAUCUGCUGUUCCCAGUAAAGGAGAGAAAAUAAAUAUUAAAGAUGAUGUGUCUGCAGUCAAGAAAGGUGGAUGCUGCUCAAAUUAGGUGAAAGGUGACGUGAAUCAUGCUAAUUGCGCCACCCUGCUGAUACCAAAUAAGAUUCAGACGUUAGGCAUCAAGAGUACUUAUUUACGCUUGUUUUGUGCUAUACAGUGGGAUGGAGAGAUCACAUUAACAAAGUGAUUGCUUCAGGUGGUUUAACGGAGUAACUUUCUUCGACCUUUGCCAUGCUUAUCUUGAGGAAGGCCUCACUUUUCCUUUGGGGUUCAAUUGUGUAAACUGGGGUGGUUCCUAGGUCUAAGUAGCACAAGAAAUUUAAGCCCAGUUAGUGGCUACAAGAUGCACAAGAAAUAUUCGCUUCUGUUUCGUUACUUGGGGUGGAUGUAUUCCUUUUCUUAUAUCCGUGUAAUUGUUACGCUUUAACUCUGUCAAUGCUGAUCAUAUAAGGGUGAUCAACAUAGAAACUUUUUGGAUGUUCCAUUACAUGUACUUCAGUUCAUAUUGUAGUUUGAUUUGUUGACCAUGUAUUUUGGUUGAUUGUAGCCUGCAUUCUUGUUAGUAAGAACGUUUUUGAUCAUUUUGGAUGUUUGGAA